GCAUUGGUGGUUCAGUGGUAGAAUUCUUGCCUGCCAUGCUGGAGGCCACGGGUGCGAUUCCCGGCCAAUGCA